UACGGAGGGUGCAAGCGUUAUCCGGAUUCACUGGGUUUAAAGGGUGCGUAGGCGGCUUUGUAAGUCAGUGGUGAAAUAUGGCAGCUCAACUGUCAAGGUGCCAUUGAUACUGCAGAGCUUGAGUACAGAUGAGGUAGGCGGAAUUGACGGUGUAGCGGUGAAAUGCUUAGAUAUCGUCAAGAACACCUAUAGCGAAGGCAGCUUACUAGGCUGUAACUGACGCUGAGGCACGAAAGUGUGGGGAUCAAACAGG
rnacentral:rRNA from 1 species